UACAGAGGGUGCAAGCGUUGUUCGGAUUCACUGGGCGUAAAGGGUGCGUAGGUGGUGAGGUAAGUCGGAUGUGAAAUCUCGGAGCUCAACUCCGAAACGGCAUUGGAAACUACCUCGCUCGAGGGUUGGAGGGGGGACUGGAAUUCUCGGUGUAGCAGUGAAAUGCGUAGAUAUCGAGAGGAACACCAGUGGCGAAGGCGAGUCCCUGGACAACUCCUGACACUGAGGCACGAAAGCUAGGGGAGCAAACAGG
rnacentral:rRNA from 1 species